GGCGGAGAGCCAAGAUAUUCACGG
rnacentral:tRNA from 1 species